GACGAACGCUGGCGGCGUGCUUAACACAUGCAAGUCGAGCGGAGCGGCGAACGGGUGAGUAACGCGUGAGUGACUGCCCCCCUCUCUGGGAUAACAGUUGGAAACGGCAGCUCAUACCGGAUAGUGGGGGAUGGAUCGGGUCCUAUCAGCCUGUUGGUGGAGUGGUGGCCUACCAAGGCGACGACGGGUAGCCGGCCUGAGAGGGCGACCGGACCCAUUGUGCUGAGAGACGGCACAAACGCCUACGGGGGACAGCAGUGGGGAAUAUUGCACAAUGGGGGAAACCCUGAUGCAGCAACCCGCGUGCGUGAUGACGGUCUUCGGGUUGUAAACCGCUUUCAGCCAUGACGCGGUAGUGGCAGAAGAAGCACCGGCUAACUACGUGCCAGCAGCCGCGGUAAUAC
rnacentral:rRNA from 1 species